rnacentral:lncRNA from 1 species
ACAGGCAACAAAACCAGGCUAAAUUUAGGGACAAACCCUUCUCUGUACUGCAAAUGAGAAUAAUUGAAAACAGUCGGAUUGGAAGUGCCAGAAGCUGAAGAGCACUGUAGCACUGAAUCUCCUAAAAAUUCCAGGAUUUAUCUCCAGGUGUAUGGAGACACAAAAAUGCAGGCUCAUCAGUCAGAUCCUUUUGGUUUGAAGACUGAUUGCUGUAUGAUGGAGAUGAGUUACGUAUUCAGCAUCCCCAAGGAGAAAUGUCAUGAACUAUUACAGGCUCAGCCAUGAACUCCUUGCAAGGAGUUUCUAAGAUCUGUGUGUUCAAGGUAAGUGCCUAACAUUGAUAAGCAUGGGGUGCUGUUUCUAGGUGUUCUUGCAACUUUGCUGAGACAUUCUGGAACUAUUAUUUUCAGAUCUUCAGGAUACAUUCAUACCUUCACAUGCAGUCUUUCCCGAGAAGAACAGUACAAAAUUCCUAGUAGGUCUAGCUGCCAGACCUAUCUGUAAGCUCUUGGAGGUGUGAUCACGCCAGCUUAUACAAUCAUGAUAAUGCAAAUAUUGAAUUUUUGAGAAAGUCUGUCAAAUACAGAGGCUUGCAGGUGCAGAAUAAUGGGGCAUAGGCAUGUGUAAUGUAGAAAUAUAGGGGAACUCACAGCAGGUCCAGUGGGAAAAAAUGUGUGUAAGUUGUGCAAGUCUGGAGUAAUUCAGACCUCAAAAUUCAUCUCUUGGCUCCUGCGUGCAGCUCAGGGAAAAAACACUGAAUCUUCCUUUUCCUUGUAUUAUACCACAAAUC